GAUACUAAAGAAGGUUUUCCCACUAUCCAUAUGCAUCUUCUAUAUUUUGAAAUUGCAACUAUGGACAGUUGUGGCUAAUCGUAGUUGAUUGUCUUCCCUUCUUUUAACAUCUUGGAUGAAUUUGGGGCACACUAAUGUGUUAAGUGAAGAUGGAUGUUGAAUUGUGUAGAAUUUGACAGCAGUAUCAAGAGCUGAGGAGGAGGAGAAGAUGGAAAGGAGUCUAGCGACUUAAAAAUCUCAUAGCAUUCUCUGUGAGGUGACCUUUUUCCUGAUGGUGGCUCAAUUUAUUUAGGUGAUAAAGAAGAUACUAAGACCUGUGGCAGUAUCACCAUGUCAUAUCUGAGCUUACUGCAGUAUUCCCUCCAUUUCCUUAUUUAUACCACAGUGUGAUUUUCAUGUUUGUAAGUUGGCUCAUUUGCUCUCUGUUCAUAUGUGAAAUGCCAUACGGCCACCGUAAGUCCUAACAAAAUUACUUCUAAUGAGGAGGGGGAUGGUCUGUGGCCCAUUUUCCCAUUUAAUUUUGGUCUGUUUGCAAAACUACCCCCACUGAAGAGAGGUAGCUAUGUUCUGAAAAGAAAAGGUUGAUAAAAAACCUUUAGCAUGGUGUUUUAUGACUUAAAAGUUUUAAAUACCAGUUUUUAUAUCUAAGCUUUUAUUAAUUUUGGUAAGAAAAUUACUGUGUCUUUUUUAUGUCACUUUUACUGUUAAGAGAUGCCAGGCAUUUGGUGGCCUGACACUUUAGGAUUUGUGUGAAUCAAACCUAUCUAAUCAUGACAUAAAUUAGAGACUGGUACUUAUAUUUCCUAAUUAAAAAUAAACUAACUAACUUAUAUUUUACUAUUGAAAUAAGAGUACUUUAUAAUGAAUACAUAAAAUGUGUAUUAAAUAUCCAGUACAGCAUGUUAAAAUUAACAUUUCUAUUUUUAUUGUAGUAACUUAUUUUAUGGGAUUGUAAUGUCUCCCUGACAUAUUUAAACGGCUUUUAAAGA